rnacentral:rRNA from 1 species
AGUGAACGCUGGCGGCAGGCCUAACACAUGCAAGUCGAACGGCAGCACAGAGGAGCUUGUUCCUUGGGUGGCGAGUGGCGGACGGGUGAGGAAUACAUCGGAAUCUGCCUAUUUGUGGGGGAUAACGUAGGGAAACUUACGCUAAUACCGCAUACGACCUACGGGUGAAAGCGGAGGACCUUCGGGCUUCGCGCAGAUAGAUGAGCCGAUGUCGGAUUAGCUAGUUGGCGGGGUAAAGGCCCACCAAGGCGACGAUCCGUAGCUGGUCUGAGAGGAUGAUCAGCCACACUGGAACUGAGACACGGUCCAGACUCCUACGGGAGGCAGCAGUGGGGAAUAUUGGACAAUGGGCGCAAGCCUGAUCCAGCCAUGCCGCGUGGGUGAAGAAGGCCUUCGGGUUGUAAAGCCCUUUUGUUGGGAAAGAAAAGCAGCCGGUUAAUACCCGGUUGUUCUGACGGUACCCAAAGAAUAAGCACCGGCUAACUUCGUGCCAGCCGCCGCCGUAA